rnacentral:rRNA from 1 species
GGGGGCCCGCAAGCGGUGGAGCAUGUGGUUUAAUUCGAAGCAACGCGAAGAACCUUACCAGGUCUUGACAUCCCGCUGCCCGGUGUAGAGAUACGCCUUUCCCUUCGGGGACAGCGGUGACAGGUGGUGCAUGGUUGUCGUCAGCUCGUGUCGUGAGAUGUUGGGUUAAGUCCCGCAACGAGCGCAACCCUUGAUCUUAGUUGCCAGCAUUCAGUUGGGCACUCUAAGGUGACUGCCGGUGACAAACCGGAGGAAGGUGGGGAUGACGUCAAAUCAUCAUGCCCCUUAUGACCUGGGCUACACACGUGCUACAAUGGACGGUACAAAGGGCUGCAAACCCGCGAGGGGGAGCCAAUCCCAGAAAACCGUUCUCAGUUCGGAUUGCAGGCUGCAACUCGCCUGCAUGAAGCCGGAAUCGCUAGUAAUCGUGGAUCAGCAUGCCACGGUGAAUACGUUCCCGGGCCUUGUACACACC